UAAAAUUAUAAAUUUUUGAAUUGGAGUGAAUAAUUAUGUAUGCGUUCCAGGCAUCAUUUUGGGGGCCCGGUAGCACCGAGUUAUUCUUAAUUAUUAUGCGUGUCAAUUUCAACAAUUUUUAGAACUUUGUUACCUUAAAGAAUUAAAUUAUAAAUUUCUGAAUUGGAGUGAAUAAUUAUGUAUGGGUUCCAAGCUUGAUUUUUGGGCCCGGCAGCACCGAG
rnacentral:lncRNA from 1 species